rnacentral:rRNA from 1 species
CCCGCUGAACUUAAGCAUAUCAGUAAGCGGAGGAAAAGAAACUAACUAGGAUUGCCCCAGUAGCGGCGAGUGAACAGGCAAAAGCUCAAAGUGAAAAUCCGUGGCGCAGAGUUACGGAAUUGUAAUCUAGAGGAGUACUCGGAAGGCACGGGCCCCGCAUAAGUUCCUUGGAACAGGACGUCAUAGAGGGUGAAAACCCCGUAGUCGGCGGAGCCGCGGCUGUACGAGUGCUUUCGAAGAGUCGGGUUGUUUGGGAUUGCAGCCCUAAAUGGGAGAUAAACUUCUUCUAAAGCUAAAUAUUUAUGGGAGACCGAUAGCGAACAAGUACUGCGAAGGAAAGGUGAAAAGAACUUUGAAAAGAGGGUUAAAAGACUUGAAAUCGUUGAGAAGGAAGCGGUAGAAGAGUAAUUAUUCGGUCGCGAUGUUGCCGCGUGAGCACGGGUCGCCCGCCUGAUGUAGUACUUCAUCGGGCUUGCGGGCGGGCCGACAACCGGGCUCUGCGGCUUUUUCGCGGCCGGGAGGCAGCGUGGGGUUAGGGCUGUGGGACUCACCGGGGCGGACGCACCAGUGCCCCCGGGCGCUGGAGCCGCUUCGGAAAACCACAGCCUGGCCCGAGGGGCCUACGGGCGACGCUGCCAAAAUGGCUUCUACUGACCCGUCUUGAAACACGG